rnacentral:lncRNA from 1 species
AUCAGGACACUCUUUAAUACAUUCUUCCUUAAAGAAUUAUCACUAUCUCAAUUUUGUGGGUGGAGAAUUAAGGCACAAAAGCUGAAGCCAACCCAAGUGGUCAUGCUGCACAGGGAGGAAAGCUAAAUAGCUGGAGAGUUCCUCAGCAUGCCAAAAGGAAAGGCUCAGUACAGGGAUUGCAGUGGCACAAUUGUGGGUGGACAGGAGAGUUGGAGGGGCUCUGCUUCAAGAGGCAAUUAAAAUUAAGCCACUGAUUAAUGCCUCAAAUUGCCAGACCACUGUCGCUACCAGAUGUUAUCAAUCUUCAGGAAAGGACAAGACUGAGACACUGGAAAGAAGAUGUUCCAAGCUGCAGCCCAAAGUUUUCUGCUUUUUUGGUAGGGCUGCUGCCCUGUCCACCUUGCUGUUCUACAGGGAAACUACAGCAAACAGACAGGUAUAAAACAGCUGGCAAGCUGCAGUGACUGGAGUAUCACCCAUUUAUUACUUUCCCAUUCAACAGCAGAGUACCUUUUGUUCAGGAAGGCAGAUAAUCUCAGUGUGUAUGGAACUUACUGUAGUGUGCUUACUGCACUGCGUUUUUCCUCCUUAAUUCAGCAGACCUCUCCAAUAAAAAAACCUGCUGAUGGAGUGUGCUGCCUGUG